ACGAACGCUGGCGGCGUGCCUAAUACAUGCCAGUCGAGCGAAGUUUUUCUGGUGCUUGCACUAGAAAAACUUAGCGGCGAACGGGUGAGUAACACGUAAAGAACCUGCCUCAUAGACUGGGACAACUAUUGGAAACGAUAGCUAAUACCGGAUAACAGCAUUAACUGCAUGGUUGAUGUUUAAAAGUUGGUUUUGCUAACACUAUGAGAUGGCUUUGCGGUGCAUUAGCUAGUUGGUGGGGUAAAGACCUACCAAGGCGACGAUGCAUAGCCGACCUGAGAGGGUGAUCGGCCACACUGGGACUGAGACACGGCCCAGACUCCUACGGGAGGCAGCAGUAGGGAAUCUUCCGCAAUGGGCGAAAGCCUGACGGAGCAACGCCGCGUGAGUGAAGAAGGAUUUCGGUUCGUAAAGCUCUGUUGUUAGGGAAGAAUGAUUGUGUAGUAACUAUACACAGUAGAGACGGUACCUAACCAGAAAGCCACGGCUAACUACGUG
rnacentral:rRNA from 1 species